rnacentral:lncRNA from 1 species
UUUCAGUCUUUCCCCUAAUUCUUGCUCUAUCAGAGGUCGAGGACAACAGUAUAAUGAUUCAUAGGUUCUACUUCCUGGCAAGUAAUCAUUUUCCCACGGGCCCUUGUGAAUUGAUGAAUAUGAAGACACUAAGAAAGCAGAAAUAGAACUGAGAAGAAUGAAAUAACUGUCUCUACCUUUCUCGAAUUGUCUAAUAUGGAAAGAAUGAAAGACAGCUAAUAAGCAACUCUCUGCAAGAAGACAUAUGGCUUAGGUUCUGCUGAGCUAUUGAAUCUACUUGGAGAGAGUCAAACACAGAAUCCCUUUGAAUUUAAUGGCCAUUCCAGGUGAUUUGAACAGCCAAAUAAGAAACAGGUCCUCUUCAAUGUACAAUCUGCCAAGUAUGAAGUCUGAAUGACCAUCAUUAUUAUGUAUUUAAUGUGCAUAGAAAAUCUAUCUGCAACCUUCCAGAGUGUACCAGAAGUUUGGAAUGUACAUUAUUAUUGGCUCCAUCUCAAACCACUCAUAAAUCAAAGAAAAUAGCAGUUCCAGAGGAAUCAUCAUAGAGGCUUCUAGGCCCCCAUGCUGUGUGAACCUGGUGAGAAAGGGAAGUCUGCUCUCACUGGACACUGGAACUGUUUGUCUCUGUCUCUGCUGUACUUUCCCUGCCUCUACCUCACUUAGUAAAGAAAUCAUCUUUGCUUGAUAACUAAAACAACCAAUAAGGCUGAGAAAGGGG